rnacentral:lncRNA from 1 species
AUCCACGACAUCACCGAGCCGACGACGCCGGCGCCGGAGACCACGCCUGCAGCUGCCACCGCCGCCGGUCCGAGUGCACCUGCUGCACUCCCUGAUCACAAGUUUGUGUGCUAAUUGUUAGGAAACAAACCUGACCGUGCGCAUUCCGGUCAAUCCAAGAUUUCAGAAACUUGUGUGCGUGGUAGUAGUGCCGGCGUAAUGCUCCGGAUCAAGUAGGUUAGGUUUUUGAGUUAAUCCAAGAUUUUUCUUAUCAACAACAGCUUAUAAAUAGUCUAGUAGCUAUUCCCUGUAAGUGUGUGUUCUAGUUCUUUUGAUGAAUAGAAAAACCCAGAAAAUUGCCCCAAAAAUUCUUCAAGCCCCAUACUCUGUUCUUGCUCUGCUCUCGGUUGUGUCGGUUUUGCUACAGUUCACCACUCGGGUGUGACUGAGGUUCGUUCGAGUUUAGCGGCAGGCUAGCUGGGCCUAGGAAAGAACCUGCUCGUCCUGCUGCAUUUAACCUGAGGGAAAUACACGAAUCCGGCAUUCGUUGCCAGGACGCUCGUUCGCCAUUGUCAAGCAUUCAAGCUCUGCUAUUUGCUGUCUUGUUCGUGUGUGUUUGUCUCUCUGAUCUUGGCUGGUUCUAACACUAAUUUGAUCUCUGCACGUACACAUGUGGAUGUGUGAAAAUUUCAGUUGUAAAUUUCGGAACGGGGAAUGAUCUUGCGUUCCAGAGGAGGUAUCAGGCUAUAAAUUAGCACAGAAUUUUUCUUUCAUGAGGUAUUUUUGUUAUAGACAGGAGAAUGAACCGGAUAUAAGAAGGAAAUCAUGAGGUAUACUUUAUAUUUUCACUGAUCUUUCUAGUUGACUUUAUGGUUUUGAAAAUUGACUUGUACUAGGUAGGUUAAAAACAUAUAUUUAGUGUACGAGAUCAUUCUAAAAACUCUUUGGUGGUUUAAAGAGUUUGCUUUAUUAUUUGGACAGUCGUGCUUUAUUUAAACCAACAGGUCAUGGGUGACAGCUACAUAUAUCUUGUUUUCUUACGCCAGCUAUACGUAUCUCCGUAAUUUACUAUGUACGACACGUUGAUUUUUUUUAAUACGCAAAAAAAAACUUACAUAAAUAUCACUUAUUUUGUUGUUAUUGGCAUCUUUAUCUUUUUGCUUAUACUUAUACUUAUAAACCAAAAUUUAACUUUUCAAUCUUAACAUGGAGUUGAUUUUAGAGUUUUUCAGCGUAAUUUAGUUUUUGGUCUUGAUUUUUAAAACAGUAAAAACAUGUACAUGAAUGUUUUAUUAAUAAUUAUUUUAUUACUAAUGUGUUUUAAGCCUAACUUACACUUUUAUGUUUUAUAUGAAAUUUUUAAAUAAAACGAAUAUCAAAUAAGAAAAGUCAACAGUGUUAUAGCAACUAUAUUGUAGAAUAAUGAACAUCGUGAUUCAUUUUCAUCCUAAAUUAUUGGGAGGAGAAAAAAGGGUCGAGGCAUGUGAAAGAAGGAAAACAUAUCUGAUUUGUCUACUCCCGAUAGAUUUUCGUGACACGUAUCUUAUACUAGUAGUAGCAGUAAAAAAACAAAAAAAUCUUAAAUUAGAUCAGUUCAGAAACUUUACAAAUUAUGAAGUCCUUGAAACCUGCAAACACCCCAAUCUCUGCCCCAUUUCAGUGGAGAAGUGACGCUGAUCAAACCUGAACUUGCGAAACUACAUCGACUAGCGCACCCAAACAUUCGAAAAUUCCCACUACGACAGAACAAACCACCCGCCCACAACAUCCUCCCACCGAUUCUCCGCCCGAGACGCCGCGGCAACACGCGCCACAAUUGCGGGCACUGGUGGACAGGAUACCGAACUGCGAACCCGCGGGGAUGAGCUUCGAGUCGAUCGGAGCAGAUGAUGAUGAACAAAUAGGUCGGAAUGAGGGAGGGGGUGGGGCUUUACCUCGACGGCGUUCUUCAGCGGGACGUCGUCCUCGGCCGCCCAGCUCCCUCCCGCGGCCGACAUGGCGCCCAUGCCGCUCCGUCCCCCGCCAGCCCUCCCCCACUCCCUCGCCGCGCGACGACCCCUCGGUCCUCGAGGAGAAGCGAGAUGAGAGACGGCGUGAAGGAAGGGGAGGAGGGCAAUGGCGAUGGGCGGAGGAGACAGAGAGAGAAGCAGCUUUCCGAAAAUACACUGAUUUUUUCCCUUUUCUAGU